rnacentral:miRNA from 1 species
AGCUCUGAUACCAUGUUGAAUU